GAUGAACGCUAGCGGCAGGCCUAAUACAUGCAAGUCGAACGGUGUAGCAAUACACAGUGGCGCACGGGUGCGUAACACGUAUGCAACCUACCUUACAUUGGGGGAUAGCCUUUCGAAAGGGAGAUUAAUACCGCAUAAGACAGUAACUGGGCAUCCAGUAGCUGUUAAAGAUUUAUCGAUGUAAGCUGGGCAUGCGUCCAAUUAGUUAGUUGGCGAGGUAAUGGCUCACCAAGACGAUGAUUGGUAGGGGAACUGAGAGGUCAAUCCCCCACACUGACACUGAGAUACGGGCCAGACUCCUACGGGAGGCAGCAGUAGGGAAUAUUGGGCAAUGGGCGCAAGCCUGACCCAGCCAUGCCGCGUGCAGGAAGAAGGCGUUAUGCGUUGUAAACUGCUUUUAUACAGGAAGAAACGACCCUUGCGAGGGGCAUUGACGGUACUGUAUGAAUAAGCACCGGCUAACUCCGUGCCAGCCGCCGCCGUAACAC
rnacentral:rRNA from 1 species